rnacentral:tRNA from 1 species
GUAGCCGUGGCCGAGUGGUUAAGGCGACAGACUUGAAAUCUGUUGGGAUAUUCCCGCGCAGGUUCAAAUCCUGCCGACUACG